rnacentral:rRNA from 1 species
GGUUGCAGGGUAGCAAUAUUUUGCAAUCGGAGUGGCGUAAGGGUGCGUAACACGUGGGUAAUUUGCCGUGAAGUUGGGGAUAACCCCGAGAAAUCGGGGCUAAUACCGAAUGUGGAUGUUUGAGGGCAUCUUCGAACAUCUGAAGCCGGGGACCGCAAGGCCUGGUGCUUCACGAUAAGCCCGCGGCCUAUCAGCUAGUUGGUGAGGUAACGGCUCACCAAGGCUAAGACGGGUAGCUGGUCUGAGAGGACGACCAGCCACACUGGAACUGAGACACGGUCCAGACACCUACGGGUGGCAGCAGUCGAGAAUUUUUCACAAUGGGCGAAAGCCUGAUGGAGCGACGCCGCGUGGGGGAUGAAUGGCUUCGGCCCGUAAACCCCUGUCAUUUGCGAGCAAGGCUUUGCACCUAACACGUGCAAAGUUGAUAGUAGCAGAAGAGGAAGGGACGGCUAACUCUGUGCCAGCAGCCGCGGUAAUACAGAGGUCCCAAGCGUUGUUCGGAUUCACUGGGCGUAAAGGGUGCGUAGGCGGCAGGGUAAGUUUGAUGUGAAAUCCCCGGGCUUAACUCGGGAACUGCAUUGAAUACUAUCCUGCUAGAGGAUCGGAGGGGAGACUGGAAUUCUCGGUGUAGCAGUGAAAUGCGUAGAUAUCGAGAGGAACACCAGUGGCGAAGGCGAGUCUCUGGACGAUUCCUGACGCUGAGGCACGAAAGCUAGGGGAGCAAACAGGAUUAGAUACCCUGGUAGUCCUAGCCGUAAACGGUGCGCACUUGCUGUGAGCGGAAUCGACCCCGUUCGUGGCGAAGCAAACGCGUUAAGUGCGCCGCCUGGGGAGUA